rnacentral:rRNA from 1 species
GACGAACGCUGGCGGCGUGCUUAACACAUGCAAGUCGAACGGAAAGGCCCUGCUUUUGUGGGGUGCUCGAGUGGCGAACGGGUGAGUAACACGUGAGUAACCUGCCCUUGACUUUGGGAUAACUUCAGGAAACUGGGGCUAAUACCGGAUAGGAGCUCCUGCUGCAUGGUGGGGGUUGGAAAGUUUCGGCGGUUGGGGAUGGACUCGCGGCUUAUCAGCUUGAUGGUGGGGUAGUGGCUUACCAAGGCUUUGACGGGUAGCCGGCCUGAGAGGGUGACCGGCCACAUUGGGACUGAGAUACGGCCCAGACUCCUACGGGAGGCAGCAGUGGGGAAUAUUGCACAAUGGGCGGAAGCCUGAUGCAGCAACGCCGCGUGCGGGAUGACGGCCUUCGGGGUGUAAACCGCUUUCGCCUGUGACGAAGCGUGAGUGACGGUAAUGGGUAAAGAAGCACCGGCUAACUACGUG